rnacentral:tRNA from 1 species
GCUGGGAUAGCGAAGUGGUCAAACGCAUUAGACUGUAAAUCUAACACCGCAAGGUUUCGUAGGUUCGAUCCCUACUCCCAGCACCA